GAGUCCUGGAAUGGUUCCUCACUUAAAGAGAUCUUAGGGGGUUACUGCCUAAGAUCUGCCCGAGGAUGGGGCUACGGCCCAUCAUGGUAGUUGGCGGGGUAAUGGCCCGCCAAGCCUACGACGGGUAGGGGCCCUGGGAGGGGGAGCCCCCAGAUGGACCCUGAGACAAGGGUCCAGGCCCUACGGGGCGCACCAGGCGCGAAACCUCUGCAAUGCGGGAAACCGUGACAGGGUUACCCCAAGUGCUCCCGUUAAGGGAGCUUUUCCUCGCUGUAAGGGGGCGAGGGAAUAAGCGGGGGGCAAGACUGGUGUCAGCCGCCGCGGUAAUACCAGCCCCGCGAGUGGUCAGGACGAUUACUGGGCCUAAAGCGCCCGUAGCCGGUCUAGCAAGUCCUCUCUGAAAGCUCCGGGCCUAACCCGGAGAGCGGAGAGGAUACUGCUAGGCUAGGGGGCGGGAAAGGCCGGGGGUACUCCUAGGGUAGGGGCGAAAUCCGAUAAUCCUAGGAGGACCACCAGUGGCGAAGGCGCCCGGCUGGAACGCGCCCGACGGUGAGGGGCGAAAGCUGGGGGAGCGAACCGGAUUAGAUACCCGGGUAGUCCCAGCUGUAAACGAUGCAGGCUAGGUGUUAGAUGGGCGUUAGUGCCCAUCCAGUGCCGCAGGGAAGCCGUUAAGCCUGCCGCCUGGGGAGUACGGCCACAAGGCUGAAACUUAAAGGAAUUGGCGGGGGGGCACACAAGGGGUGGAGCCUGCGGCUCAAUUGGAGUCAACGCCGGGAACCUCCACCGGGAGCGACAGCAGGAUGACGGCCAGGCUAACGACCUUGCCUGACACGCUGAGGGGAGGUGCACGGCCGUCGCCAGCUCGUGCUGUGAAGUGUCCUGUUAAGUCAGGCAACGAGCGAGACCCCCGCUCUUAGUUGCUAUCCCAUAGGAGACUAUGGGGGCACACUAAGAGGACUGCCGCCGCUAAGACGGAGGAAGGAGGGGGCCACGGCAGGUCAGCAUGCCCCUAAACUCCCGGGCUGCACGCGGGCUACAAUGACGGGGACAGCGGGUUCCGACC
rnacentral:rRNA from 1 species